GAUGAACGCUGGCGGCGUGCUUAACACAUGCAAGUCGAACGGAAAGGCCCAAGCUUGCUUGGGUACUCGAGUGGCGAACGGGUGAGUAACACGUGGGUGAUCUGCCCUGCACUUCGGGAUAAGCCUGGGAAACUGGGUCUAAUACCGGAUAGGACCACAUUUUGGAUGGUGUGGUGGAAAGUUUUUCGGUGUGGGAUGAGCUCGCGGCCUAUCAGCUUGUUGGUGGGGUAAUGGCCUACCAAGGCGUCGACGGGUAGCCGGCCUGAGAGGGUGUACGGCCACAUUGGGACUGAGAUACGGCCCAGACUCCUACGGGAGGCAGCAGUGGGGAAUAUUGCACAAUGGGCGCAAGCCUGAUGCAGCGACGCCGCGUGGGGGAUGACGGCCUUCGGGGUGUAAACUCCUUUCGCUAGGGACGAAGCGUUUUUGUGACGGUACCUGGAGAAGAAGCACCGGCUAACUACGUG
rnacentral:rRNA from 1 species